GCUUUAGUUGUUUGACGGGUGCGCGCGGUUUGUGUGUGUGCCAUGCUGUGUUCUACAAUGCUUCGUUACCACGUUUAUCGAUUAUGCACGUUGGUUACGUGAUUCAAUAUCAAGUGUACCUUCCAAGACGAUCUAGGUCCUAGUCUCGUGACUGACGGCGAGUGCGGACGUACAGCAGCCUUUUGACAAGACUGUCGCCGAGUGUACGGUACAUUGUGGACUGUAAAGCUGAAGAGUGCGCAGUGGAUGCCUGAUUUUGGAACCGAGUGUGAUCGUCUGGGCGGUGUGUUCACUCUGCGGGGAUGAUGGCCAGAGGAAGGAUGAUAGACAGACGACAGCUUGCAGAAGAAGAUGGGAGCGUUCUACCUGUGAGCCUGGUCGAGUUUAUAUUUUAUGGAUACACAUGCAUGGAUACACAUACAUGGAUUCCCUACAAGGACCCUGCGCAUCAAAAGCAAUCUGUCAUCAAUGUUAAGUAGACAGAUUAAACGAAACGAAGAUAUGACAUGUGUACACCAUAUUUUUUUUUUCAUUUAACCUCUG